rnacentral:rRNA from 1 species
AGACGGAGGGGGCUAGCGUUGUUCGGAAUUACUGGGCAUAAAGAGCACGUAGGCGGUGGCGUAAGUCAGCUGUGAAAUCCCUCGGCUCAACCGAGGAACUGCAGCUGAAACUGCGUCGCUAGAGUAUGGGAGGGGAGAGCGGAAUUCCUGGUGGAGCGGUGAAAUGCGUAGAUAUCAGGAGGAACGCCGGAGGCGAAAGCGGCUCUCUGGACCAUUACUGACGCUGAGGUGCGAAAGCUAGGGGAGCAAACAGGAUUAGAAACCCCGGUAGUCC